UGACUAAUUAGAAAGCUCCAGAAAACAAAAAUGUCCCAAAAAAUCAUCACCCUUCUCUUCUCUCUCCCCGAUUCCAGCGACAGCCCCAUUUUCCCCCUCUUUCUGUGAUUUCCGGCCACUUGAUCUCAAGUCCGGCUGACCAGACCUCCUUCUCGCCGCCAUUGCUUCUUCAGUUACUCCCUCUACAUUUUCAGUCGGUAUAGCGCAGGAACGAGGGAGGUGUUGAGCUGCGAUUUUCGAUCGAGACAGCCAGCACCCUCCCAUUUUCUUUUCGUUUUUUCGGCAAGACCAGCCAAGUCCCGCUAGCACAGACUUCCCGCCUUGUCACCACCCUUCUCCGGCUGCUAUCCUCUCCGUUUUCCAGACUAGUAGCGACACAGCGACGAGUUGAAAGGGAGAGCUGUGUUUUUCCGAUCGCUUGACCGGAAUAUGUAAUUUCCGACGCAAAAUACAGCUGGGUCACCAUGGGAUUUCUGACGGCGGUCUAUGAUACCGUUGGCCAUUUAUGGGGAGAUCGGUGCCCGCGUGGAUCUGAUAAUAUGAAUUAAAUGGAAAAUCAUAGGGUGGCCUCCUAUUGGUAAUGGAAAAGAAAAGAGAGAAUAGAAAAACAAUGAGACGGCCGAUCAAGUGAAGAUUAGAUCGGUCGGCCAUGUAUGGAGAAUCAGCUCCUUAAUGUACACAUCAUAAGAUGACGGGCCAUGUGUGAGGACGUCUCAUGGGGGUUUUGAUGACACCAUAGACCAAUUUCCACUUGUUUGAUUAUGUGGAGGUGCUCUUAUAUGUAAAUGUUGUUGUUGUGCCAUGUGCUUGACAAAUUGAGUGUUCAUUUUAAUAUUUAGGAUGCAUCUCGUGUGAUUGCUUGUGCUAUGCAUUAUUUAUUACUGUUCUCUGAGUUGCAAAACUCACUUGUAUUUUAUUUAAUUUUUUCAGGAAGUAGACUCUCUGUAGUUUGAUUAAACCUCUGUGUCCUUCACUGUAGAGCUAGAACAGUAAUUUCUCAAUUUUAGCAGUUAUUUAAUUAUGUAGCCUUAUGUAUAAGAUCUUAAUUAUAUUUACUUGUUGAACUCCGCAGUUGUAGGAUUAUGAUAAUUCUAAUUAUGUAUCAGUACGAGCAUGCUAAAUGUUGAACUUAUAUGGAUGUUUGAAAUAAUUAUUUUUGUGCAUU